UGCCAGCAGCCGCGGUAACACGGGGGGCGCAAGCGUUAUUCGGAAUUACUGGGCGUAAAGCGCGCGUAGGCGGGCUGUUAAGUCGGGGGUGAAAUCCCGGGGCUCAACCCCGGAAGUGCAUUGGAAACUGGCGAACUUGAGUACGGGAGAGGAAAGUGGAAUUCCGAGUGUAGGGGUGAAAUCCGUAGAUAUUCGGAGGAACACCAGUGGCGAAGGCGGCUUUCUGGACCGAUACUGACGCUGAGACGCGAAAGCGUGGGGAGCAAACAGGAUUAGAUA
rnacentral:rRNA from 1 species